AACGUAGGUUCCGAGCGUUAUCCGGAUUUACUGGGCGUAAAGCGCGUUCAGGCGGUUUGGCAAGUCGGGCAUGAAAUCUCUCGGCUCAACCGGGAGAGGUUGUCCGAUACUGCUGGACUUGAGGGCAGUAGAGGGGUGGUGGAAUUCCGGGUGUAGUGGUGGAAUGCGUAGAUAUCCGGAGAACACCAGUGGCGAAAGCGGCCACCUGGACUGCACCUGACGCUGACACGCGAAA
rnacentral:rRNA from 1 species